GAUUGAGUUUGAUCCUGGCUCAAGAUGAACGCUGGCGGCGUGCCUAACACAUGCAAGUCGAACGAAGCGUGCGGAUGGAAUUUCUUCGGAGAGGAAGCCUGCAUGACUGAGUGGCGGACGGGUGAGUAACGCGUGGGCAACCUGCCCUGCACAGGGGGACAACAGCCGGAAACGGCUGCUAAUACCGCAUAAGCGCACAGCUUCGCAUGGAGCGGUGUGAAAAGCUGCGGCGGUGCAGGAUGGGCCCGCGUCUGAUUAGCAGGUUGGCGGGGCAACGGCCCACCAAGGCGACGAUCAGUAGCCGGCCUGAGAGGGUGGACGGCCACAUUGGGACUGAGACACGGCCCAGACUCCUACGGGAGGCAGCAGUGGGGAAUAUUGCACAAUGGGGGAAACCCUGAUGCAGCGACGCCGCGUGAGCGAAGAAGUAUUUCGGUAUGUAAAGCUCUAUCAGCAGGGAAGAAAUUGACGGUACCUGAGUAAGAAGCUCCGGCUAAAUACGUGCCAGCAGCCGCGGUAAUACGUAUGGAGCAAGCGUUAUCCGGAUUUACUGGGUGUAAAGGGAGCGUANGCGGCCUGCCAAGUCUGAUGUGAAAUACCGGGGCUCAACCCCGGGGCUGCAUUGGAGACUGACAGGCUGGGAGUGUCGGAAAGGCANGCGGAAUUCCUAGUGUAGCGGUGAAAUGCGUAGAUAUUAGGA
rnacentral:rRNA from 1 species